rnacentral:rRNA from 1 species
CAGUCGCCGCGGGAAUACGUAGGGUGCAAGCGUUAAUCGGAAUUACUGGGCGUAAAGCGUGCGCAGGCGGUUAUAUAAGACAGAUGUUAAAUCCCCGGGCUCAACCUGGGAACUGCAUUUGUGACUGUAUAGCUAGAGUACGGCAGAGGGGGAUGGAAUUCCGCGUGUAGCAGUGAAAUGCGUAGAUAUGCGGAGGAACACCGAUGGCGAAGGCAAUCCCCUGGGCCUGUACUGACGCUCAUGCACGAAAGCGUGGGGAGCAAACAGGAUUAGAUACCCCCGUAGUCCCUGUCUCUUAUAA